CAUGCCAGCAGACUCCGUACCUGCGAGUAAAUACAAAACCACACAACAGCAAAUACGAAAAGAGAAAUUUUUAUUUUUAUUUUUAUUUUUAUUUUUGGGUCUUUCUUAUUCCGUUUCGGCUAUAAAGCCAAAGUUCUGGUUCAUUGUAAUUUUUUACGCGCAAUAGGCAAUACAGACGCACUAUUCACAUAUUGAAUACAAAGAAAUAGCAAAGAAAAGGUGAUUUCAGAUUAAAAAUCUUCCGGAUUUCUUCUUCUUCUUGGCUCUUUCUUUCUGCAUUUUUUUUUCUCUUUUUUUUCUUUGCAUUCGAAUGUAUAAAAAAGGGGAAAGAAACAACUCUUACCUUGCAAACGCGCCGUAGAUAUCUUCUUGCUUCGUGGAGAUCGAAGCCGAGAGGAGUCCUCAAGGCUAAAAUUCCUCCAGGCUAGAAGAACGCCGUCUGCUGGAGAUGAAUCGGCCAUUAAGAUGAGGAUUUAAGGUUUGAAAAGGGGAGGAGAAAAGGGACUGAUUGCAUUCGGCUGAUUUUAGCCAUUAAAGGGGAUAAGAAACGGCGCCGUUUUGACCAAGUUUGAUGGUUCAAAAACGACGCCGCAUGAUAGCCGCGACCCGAUGACCCGACCCAUGUUCGGACGAGAUCCCCACAUUCGGCUUUGGAGGGUUAAUUGCACUUUAAAUCCUCUUCGUUUGCAUAGGCAUUCAAUCGUGCAUUGCUGGAUUUGCUUCAUUUUUAGGAUUUAGCCUUAUAAUUUGUGCUCAUUUGCAAUCGAGUCCGCUCUUAAACGCAGCAUCUUAGGGCCUGGAUUAUUUCCAGUUUGAGCCCCUGUGCAUUUUCGCGCUUUACUUGUCGGUCCCUUUUAUUAUUAUUACUUUAUUUUCAAGUUAUCCCUUUUAUUUUUGUUUGGUUCUAAUUUAAUCCUUUUAGUUUACAUUUUUAUUACUUAUUUGUAUAUUUUUUUACUGCCUCGAUAAUUGUUU
rnacentral:lncRNA from 1 species